rnacentral:rRNA from 1 species
GACGAACGCUGGCGGCGUGCUUAACACAUGCAAGUCGAACGAGACGAUUGAAAGCUUGCUUUCGAAAGUCGAGUGGCAAACGGGUGAGUAACGCGUAAACAACCUGCCUUUGAGAUGGGGACAACAGUUCGAAAGGACUGCUAAUACCGAAUGUUGUAUAUUUUCCACAUGGAAGAUAUAUUAAAGAUGGACUCUAUUUAUAAGCUAUCGCUCAAAGAUGGGUCUGCGUCUGAUUAGCUGGUUGGUGGGGUAACGGCCUACCAAGGCGACGAUCAGUAGCCGGUCUGAGAGGAUGAACGGCCACAUUGGGACUGAGACACGGCCCAGACUCCUACGGGAGGCAGCAGUGGGGAAUCUUCCACAAUGGACGAAAGUCUGAUGGAGCAACGCCGCGUGAGUGAAGAAGGGUUUCGGCUCGUAAAGCUCUGUUGUCGGGGACGAAUGUGCAGUAUUUGAAUAAAGUACUGCAAUGACGGUACCUGACGAGGAAGCCACGGCUAACUACGUGCCAGCCGCCGCCGUAA